UUCUGGUUGAUCCUGCCAGAGGUUACUGCUAUUGGUGUUCGACUAAGCCAUGCAAGUCAUAUGUUCCUCGUGAACAUGGCAUACUGCUCAGUAACACGUGGAUAACCUGCCCUUGGGUCUGGGAUAACCCCGGGAAACUGGGGAUAAUACCGGAUAACGCAUAUGUGCUGGAAUGCUUUAUGCGUAAAAUGGAUUCGUCCGCCCAAGGAUGGGUCUGCGGCCUAUCAGGUAGUAGUGGGUGUAAUGUACCUACUAGCCAGCAACGGGUACGGGUUGUGAGAGCAAGAGCCCGGAGAUGGAUUCUGAGACAUGAAUCCAGGCCCUACGGGGCGCAGCAGGCGCGAAAACUUUACAAUGCGGGAAACCGUGAUAAGGGAACACCGAGUGCCAGCAUCAUAUGCUGGCUGUCCAGAUGUGUAAACUACAUCUGUUAGCAAGGGCCGGGCAAGACCGGUGCCAGCCGCCGCGGUAACACCGGCGGCCCGAGUGGUGACCGUUAUUAUUGGGUCUAAAGGGUCCGUAGCCGGUUUGGUCAGUCCUCCGGGAAAUCUGAUAGCUUAACUGUUA
rnacentral:rRNA from 1 species